rnacentral:rRNA from 1 species
AGCGAACGCUGGCGGCAGGCCUAACACAUGCAAGUCGAACGAAGUCUUCGGACUUAGUGGCGGACGGGUGAGUAACACGUGGGAACGUACCUUUUGGUUCGGAACAACUCAGGGAAACUUGAGCUAAUACCGAAUGUGCCCUUAGGGGGAAAGAUUUAUCGCCAUUAGAGCGGCCCGCGUUAGAUUAGCUAGUUGGUGGGGUAAAGGCCCACCAAGGCUACGAUCUAUAGCUGGUCUGAGAGGAUGAUCAGCCACACUGGGACUGAGACACGGCCCAGACUCCUACGGGAGGCAGCAGUGGGGAAUCUUGCGCAAUGGGCGAAAGCCUGACGCAGCCAUGCCGCGUGAAUGAUGAAGGUCUUAGGAUUGUAAAAUUCUUUCAGUAGGGACGAUAAUGACGGUACCUACAGAAGAAGCCCCGGCUAACUUCGUGCCAGCAGCCGCCGUAAAAC